UUCAGUGUUUUAUAGAAGUGCUCACAUGUAAUCUAAACAAGAACUCUACAAGAGAGGUAUCCAGAGCCACAUUUUAUAGAUAAGGAAAUUGAGGCUCAGAGAGGACUAGAAAUUUGGCUAAGCUCCUGCAGCUGAGUUGGGGGCUGCAUCUGACAAGUGGCCGUGGUUUCAAGUCUCUGGAGUCCCAUUUUUUUCUCUUCCAUGGAGUUUGUUUGCUGCAGUUUGAGGAGCCGAGGCAUAUGAUAAAUACCAGGUGUCCUUAGAAGAAGAGGAGAUUGGGCCCCAGACACACAUGCACAGAAGAAAGACCACGUGAAGACAGAGGGAGAAGACGGCGAUCUACAAACCAAGGAAACAUCCUCAGAAUGAAACCAACCUUGCCAACCCCUGAUCCUAGACCUCCAGCCUCCACAACGGUCUUUGGACUCAGAUGGAAUUAUACCACGGGGUUUCCUGGGUCUCCAGCAUGCAGAUGGCAGAUUGUGGAACUUCUCAGCCUCCAAAAUCGAGUGAGCCAAUUCCCAUCAUAAAUCCCCUCUCCUGUGUCUAAAUAUGUCCUAUUGCUUCUCUUUCUCUGGAGAAUGCUGACUAAUACAGACAUAAUACAGCAGUCUUUGGGGAUGAUGUAUGAGUAUGUGGAGGAAGAACUAGACAUGAAGCAGAGUGUGCUUUCUUUAACAUAACUUUUUCAUUAAAAUAGUUGUAUGUGCUUCGUACAAAAACUUGGAAAAUACAGAAAUGUAAUGGAAAAAG
ensembl:lncRNA novel transcript, antisense to ACSM5